GUGAUUUCUUCAUUUUAGUCCAGGAAAAAGUUGCCUUGAAGCUUGAGGAAGCAGGUUUUCGAACCAUUUUGAACUAAAUUGGUGACCUUGGGAACUAGUUUGGAAGGUGUUCCAACCAGGGCGAGAGUACAACCGACUUUUGGAUGAUCUUUGGUUGGCAUUGGAGAGCCUUUAGAGGUUAAUCUUGAGGGUUGAGGCCUAGUUGAGCUGAAUUUCGGGACUCCUUUGGGCUGGAUUGAG